AUGAAACUGGAAUUUGUUUCCUAUUUUUCUUCAUUAUUUGUUUCCUUUCAUGCAGACCUUGUUCUGAAAGACAAGAUUGUUGUUUAUGAUUUGGCUGGCCAAAGGAUUGGAUGGGCUAACUAUGACUAACAGACCUGCAUUCUCACUACCUUGAUAGAGAAGAUAAGGAACAACCAGAGAAAAGAUUGCAUAAUUUGAGGUAUCGGAAAUGGAUAAGAGCUGGAUAAAUGAUCCAAAUAUUUUGUCAAGUCAUUAUAAG